rnacentral:lncRNA from 1 species
AAAUCCUACGGCGUCGACAGCUCGCUCAGACCUGCGGGUCGGUCCAAGUGAGACCCGCUCGAGCCUCUCCUCCCAGUGGUUGAUGUGGUCUUUGCGAUGUCUUUAUACGCUGUCGUAGCUCCGUGCCCAUUCACGUCACCACAAUGUUUCCUUCCUUUGGCUCACUGAUUGGCAGUAGCGGUGGUCGUGUUCUCGACAACAACACACACGGUUUUGUUUUGCUGUCUGCACAGGAGCGCGCAACGUUAGGUGUAACGCCUAAUUAUGUUAAUAAUUGGCGUGUCUGUUUAAUUUCUAAUGUGUUUUUGUACUCAUUGACCAAACGAUCGGCUUACGGAUUUUGUUUGAGUUCAGAGAUUAAGGUCAGAAUUCUGAUUUAAAAAUCGGAAUCCUGACUUAAAUCUCAAAAAUCUAAGAAUAAUAAUCACAUACUGCCCUCAUCCUCUUCCUAUGGGCUUUUCGUCACAUGAAUAAAUCGUGCUGUAGGUCAAAGUUAGGAACUAUAAAUUGGCGCUGCCAGAGCACCGCAGACUUGCCCCAAGCGUCCGUUGCUAUGGUUACGACAUAGCGAGCGAGAGGGAGGAAGUGGUAAGCUAGCUCUUAUAUGGUUGUACUCUGACGGUAAUUAUUCUAAAAUUUAUAUUAAAGAUGUCCCAUAAACAUGGUUAGUGACGUUACCAGGUUAAAUAGGAGGGUUUAGGAUUGGAUUGAGUUGCGUGUGAAGAGUAGACAACGUAUAGUGAUCACUUAUAGGCUAUGGCUCAUGUUGUUGCUACCGAGUCUGGUGAAAUAACUCACCAAAGGGACUUCAGAACCCGAACUGCACCGGGUAAGUGGGCCUAUGGAUUACCCCCCUUCUUAUUGUGGUGUAUCCCCUUCUCUCCUGUUUUCUGUAUAUUUCCUCUAAAAAAAAACGUGUGAAGUUGACGGCAGCAUCUCUCUUCCAUCAGGGUGUGUUAAUCGUUCCAAAUUAAUGCAAGUCAAAAGCAUACAACCUAAUCUUCAUUCACCAAAGCCUCCCACUGACUCCCGGAAGCAAGAAGAAAUGACUGGAGCCCUGACGCGGAGGAUACGAACAGGCCAGCAAGGCUGUAAAACAGUUGAAGAGGCUGAGGGCCAGCUCUGCCAAGCGGAGGGCACAUUGUUGCUGCGCCACACAGGGCACAGAGGGCCCCGCUACGACCAUCAAGGCGUGGUUCUGCCCCACAGCAUUCUGGGUAACCUGCAGGACUUCAAGAGUUAUUUGGAGACCAGGGGAGAAACUGAGGUAAAUAGGGAAUGAGUAAAUAUGUGCCGGGAUGGGUUUCCCUUAAAAGGGAGGCACUCUAACAAGUAAAAGGUAGAAUUGUAUUAUUGGUAUGUGUUCCAUUUAUUAUAAGGUUAGAAUAACUAUUAAUGACACAACGUGUAUUUGACUCAGAGCCACACACAUGGAAUCUGUGGCUCAAUUGUGUUGGUGUGUAUGUCUGCGCUCGUGUGUGUGUGUGUGUGUGUGUGUGUGUGUGUGUGUGUGUGUGUGUGCGUGCGUGAGUGAGUGUGUGUGUGUGUGUGCGCAUGCAUGUGCAUGUCAUUUACCAAACUGACAUUGUCAUUGAUUACUGAAGGACCAAUUCAGUGGACUACUCAGAAUUCUCAAGACUGGACUAUAAGCGGUCGAAACUCUUGGUGACUUGGUGCUCACCCCCUCUUCCCUGUCCUCCCUCCGCGGCCCCCAGUCAGUCCGGAGGCUGCGGGAGACCACCACAGAGGCUCUGAGUGGACCCUCCUCCUCAGCCCCGGGGGGGGGGCACGCAUACAGAGGGGCUGAGGACAGAGGCGGCGGGCUCUCUGCCGGCCAGGCACACACCCAGAGCCACGCCCUGCAGCACUGGAGCACACGCAUGAGGCAGCGGCGGCGGCAGCAGGAGUCUCUAGCCAGUGAGUUAACGUAGGAGCCAGUCUCAGGGGAACCGGCUGCAACAGGAUGGUGUCUAUUCUUACCUUUGUACAAUAGAGUUAAAUGCGUAUGCAAAUUAGAUUGAAGGUAAAAUGCAUGGAUCACCUUCAGAAUAUCACUCCGCAGAAGACUCACAGGACAUUGGCGUGAUGGAGCCGGCAAACAUGAGGCUUCACUGCCGACCUUUCAACCCAGCUGAAACCUCGUCGCCACAAACAUCUAUUCACUAAACCAAUCAAACGCUUAAACACAAUGGAGCUCAAAGAAACAUGAACAGGGGGCGCGAUAUUAACCCAAAUAACAUAGGAAUCAGUCCAAGGGUCAUCACGGUUUAAUAUUGAGAAGAAACCCAUUCAUCCAAAUGCUUACAUUGGUGAUACCAAUCCAGGUCCUUUGAGGAGCAAGCGUUGGGGGUAAGGAUGUCUAUGCAGGUUGGCCUGUGUGCUUUGGGGAUUGAAGCCAGCAGAGCAUACCUUACAGUAGGGGUCGGGCACCCUAUUCUCCACCCCAUGCCCUAACGCCCCCCAGUGAGUGACGAUGUGAAUACAACACCACUACAGUCACUAAAGAUGGAACUGCACCAUGGCAGUCCACACCAGUCAGGGAAUGAGUUAUAUACACGUUUAAUUUGUAUUAUAUAAAAUAUAUAAUAUUAUUACAUAGUAUUUAUGUUCUAAACAAUAUGUAAUAUCACCGUUGUUUUUUUUAAAGUCUUUAUGUUUCUCCUCUUCGUCUAAGAGUCGCUCCACA